rnacentral:rRNA from 1 species
CUACGGGGGGCUGCAGUGGGGAAUAUUGGACAAUGGGCGAAAGCCUGAUCCAGCCAUGCCGCGUGUGUGAAGAAGGCCUUCGGGUUGUAAAGCACUUUCAGUGGGGAAGAAAGCCUUGGGGCUAAUACCCUCGAGGAAGGACAUCACCCACAGAAGAAGCACCGGCUAACUCCGUGCCAGCAGCCGCGGUAAUACGGAGGGUGCGAGCGUUAAUCGGAAUUACUGGGCGUAAAGCGCGCGUAGGCGGUCUGAUAAGCCGGUUGUGAAAGCCCCGGGCUCAACCUGGGAACGGCAUCCGGAACUGUCAGGCUAGAGUGCAGGAGAGGAAGGUAGAAUUCCCGGUGUAGCGGUGAAAUGCGUAGAGAUCGGGAGGAAUACCAGUGGCGAAGGCGGCCUUCUGGACUGACACUGACGCUGAGGUGCGAAAGCGUGGGUAGCAAACAGGAUUAGAUACCCGUGUAGUC